CAGCCAUUUUGGAAAUUUCAAAGUCAAAAAGGGCAUCUACACUUGCAAAUUAUCAUUUUUGCAAAAUUUCAUUGAGUUUGGAGCAUUUUGAAAUUUUGAACAAUUUUGCUGUUUCCAUGGUUACGGCGGCCAUUUUGGAAAUUCCAACUACAAAAUGAAACUCUGCACAUGUCAGUUACUAUUCCUGUAAAGUUUCAUGCAGAUUGCAGCACUUUAUUUUUUUUUUGGAAAUUUUGAACAUUUGUGCUGCAACCAUGGUUACAGUAGAUAAUUCCAAAAUUCUAAAAGCAGACAUCUCAUUGCCACAUGUCAUGUUAUAUAUCAAUACAGUUUCAUUUACUUUGGUGCAAUACUCUCUGAGAAAAUGCUGAUUUUAUGCAUUUUUCCAUAGGGUCAAUGUUAAACUUGUCCCCAGUUUCCAUGACAACGGCGGCCAUUUUGGAGUUUCCAAAUAUCGUCUUGGCAUCUUGGCAUACUGGGUAACAUUUUCAUAAAGUUUCAUCCAGUUAGGUCAUAUAACGACAGAGUUAGAAUUUUUGAUAUUUUAGCUGUUUCCAUGGUAACGGCAGCCAUUUUGAAAAUUCCAAGAUCAAAAUGCAGCUCAGGCCAUGCCUGUUACUAUUUAAGUGAAGUUUCGUCCAGUUUGGAACACUUUGAAUAUUUUCGGAUUUUUGCUGUUUCCAUGGAAACGGCAGCCAUUUUGACCAUUCCAAAGUCAGGUGCACAACUUCACAUGCUGGUGCACAUUGUGGUAUAGUUCCAUCAACAUUGGUCAACUCAAUUCCAAGAAACUGCGUGGACAAAAUGUGUGGAAGAAGAAUAAGGAAAACUAGAUUUGUAAUUGCUAGCAAUAACGGAUGGCACCCUCGUCCCCCCAUUGCCAGGCGAGCGGCAGCCAUUUUGAAAAUUUCAAAGUCAAAGAGUGCAUCUACACAUGCAAGUCAUCAUUUUUGUAAAAUUUCAUUAAGUUUGGAGCAUUUUGAAAUUUUGGACAAUUUUGCUGUUUCCAUGGUUACGGCGGCCAUUUUGGAAAUUCCAACUUCAAAAUGCAACUCCGCACAUGUCAGUUACUAUUCCUGUAAAGUUUCAUCCAGUUUGCAGCAUUUUAAUUUUUUUGGAAAUUUUGAACAUUUGUGCUGCAACCAUGGUUACAGUAGAUAAUUCCAAAAUUCUAAAAGCGUACAUCUCAUUGCCACAUGUCAUGUUAUAUAUCAAUACAGUUUCAUUAACUUUGGUGCACUACUCUCUGAGAAAAUGCUGAUUUUAUGCAUUUUUCCAUAGGGUCAAUGCAAAACUUGGCCCCAGUUUCCAUGACAACGGCGGCCAUUUUGAACUAUCCAAAUAUUGUCUUGACAUCUUGGCAUACUGGAGAACAUUUUCAUAAAGUUUCAUCCAGUUGGAUGUUAUAACGAAAGAGUUAGAAUUUUUGAUAUUUUAGCUGUUUCCAUGGUAACGGCAGCCAUUUUGAAAAUUCCAAAGUCAAACUGGAAAUCAGCACAUGCCAGUUAACAUUCCUGUGGAGUUUCUUCCAGUUUGGACCACUUUGAUUUUUUUCGCAUUUGUGCUGUUUCCAUGGAAACGGCGGCCAUCUUUUACCAUUCCAUAGCAAGGUGCACAACUUCAAGUGGGGUUCUUCAUUAUAGUUGAGUUCCAUAAACAUUGGUAGGUUCAAUUCUGAGAACUCGCGCGGACAAAAUGUGUGGAAGAAAAAUAAAAAUAACUAGAUUUGUAAUUGCUAGCAAUAACGGAUGGCACCCUCGUCCCCCCAUUGCCAGGCGAGCGGCAGCCAUUUUGGAAAUUCCAAAGUCAAAGAGUGCAUCUACACCUGCAAGUUAUCAUUUUUGCAAAAUUUCAUUAAGUUUGGAGCAUUUUGAAAUUUUGGACAAUUUUGCUGUUUCCAUGGUUACGGCGGCCAUUUUGGAAAUUCCAACUUCAAAAUGCAACUCCGCACAUGUCAGUCACUAUUCCUGUAAAGUUUCAUCCAGUUUGCAGCACUUAAUUUUUUUUGGAAAUUUUGAACAUUUGUGCUGCAACC
rnacentral:lncRNA from 1 species